rnacentral:rRNA from 1 species
ACACCGCCGCCGUGAUUGAAAGGUUCCCCGCUCGUCAACUCUUCCUCCGAGAAAACACGGAUGAGAGUAACCGUUCUACCUCACGGUAUCUAACCAGAAAGCCACGGCUAACUACGUGCCAGAUCCGCGGUAA